rnacentral:tRNA from 1 species
GGAAGAGACUCGGUCCCGGUGGGCCGGCCGGCCUUCAAAGCCGGUCGGGGCGGCUGGACGCGGCCCCGGGCGGGUUCGACUCCCGCUCUCUUCCG